rnacentral:lncRNA from 10 species
CCAAAGGCUCCAUAGGAGUUUGGCAAGUGGAAAGAGAAUGAAGGUCUGGGCAAGGGGUGGGGAGGUUUUCAGGCAGAAGCACUGCACACUGAAAGGCUGGAAGAGAAGGUAGAGUUUCAGAAAGACUGGAGAAUGGAGUAGGGGAUGGGUGAGAUAUCACGGCCAGACCCUAUAGGCCAUUGGAAGGGAGAGGCAACAGAUCAAGUCCUGGGAGGCGGAGUUCUAGUUCAAGGCCAUUUGUAGCUUAUUGUAUAGCAUUAGACAGGUUUUUAGACCUCCUCAGACCUCAGUUUCCUCAUCUCUAAUAGGGGGCUAGAAAUACCCACACGCCUUCUUCUCAGUGUUGUCACGAUUAAAUGGUUUGAAAAAGUUAAAAAUCCUCUGCAAAAGCAAGGAGUUUGCACUGUUAUUCCUAGAAACACUGCUUCCUCCUCCUGGGUCCAUCCCCAUUCCUCCCUUAGGAGGUCCACCAUGCCCCUCUGUGCAGCUUGAGGUAGGAAGUGUCAACCUCAGAGGAGAGUUGGAAGAGGAGAUGGCCAGGACUGGGGUUUCACUGUGACUUGGGAGACUCGGGGUCUUAUUGCCUGCCUCAGGGAAGAUCCCACCUCCCAGCCCAGGCCCAGAAGCCCUCCUAAGAUACCUGCCACCCUUUGCUCAAGUGACAGCUGCCUUUUCAUGACAUGACUCCCUACAUGCCAAGCCCUAUGCUGAGCACUGUCAUUCAGGGUCACUUCACAGUUACAGCCCAGACUCGAAUCAGUCAGACUCAGGUUCAAAUCCUAAAUAUGUCCCUGCCCCAGUUCCCAUCAGUGUGGCCUUGAGGAAUUACUUAAGCAUUCUGAGAAAAUUACUCAGUUUCCUCAACAGUAAAAAAAGUGCAUAUUAAUGAGACCCAGGUCAUAUGGUGGGUUACGAGGUUUAAAUGAGCUUAUUAAUAAAUCCCAUGAUAAACAGUGA